UACGUAGGGUGCAAGCGUUGUCCGGAAUUAUUGGGCGUAAAGAGCUCGUAGGCGGUCUGUCGCGUCUGCUGUGAAAACUCAGGGCUUAACCCUGAGCUUGCAGUGGGUACGGGCAGACUAGAGUGCGGUAGGGGAGACUGGAAUUCCUGGUGUAGCGGUGAAAUGCGCAGAUAUCAGGAGGAACACCAGUGGCGAAGGCGGCACUCUGGGCCGGUACUGACGCUGAGACGCGAAAGCGUGGGGAGCGAACAGG
rnacentral:rRNA from 1 species